rnacentral:precursor_RNA from 15 species
AACAAACAAACAAGCACGGUCCUUGCCCUCAAGGAGCGCACAGUCUAUUGAGUUGCCGUUCUGACUUCCCCACUAGAUUGUGAGCUCCUGGAGGGCAGGCACUUUCGUUCAACUGGGAAAAA